rnacentral:rRNA from 1 species
UACGAAAGGUGCGAGCGUUAAUCGGAAUUACUGGGCGUAAAGCGCGCGUAGGCGGUUUGCUAAGUCAGAUGUGAAAGCCCCGGGCUCAACCUGGGAACUGCAUUUGAAACUGGCAGGCUAGAAUGCAGUAGAGGGAGGUGGAAUUUCCGGUGUAGCGGUGAAAUGCGUAGAGAUCGGAAGGAACACCAGUGGCGAAGGCGGCCUCCUGGACUGACAUUGACGCUGAGGUGCGAAAGCGUGGGGAGCAAACAGGAUUAGAUACCCU